GAUCGAUGGACCUAACGGUAACAACGUCAUUUCAUCCGCAAUGCUUUGAUGAGUAAUCGCAUGUGUGCUUGCAUCAAAAAAAAAGACGAUUGAGGCACCGUGCCAAUGGUCAAUGAUUGGUGGACAGAAAGGCUGGCACAUUCUUCUUUCCUGCCAAUAUCCAUUCUCACUUCCUCUGAGUCGAGCCCAGCUGUCACAGGCAGAUGGAAACAGGACAGAGAAAAGCCACAGAUCAGAUAACGGAUCACAAUCCUUAAAUUCUCAACUAAUACAGCCCCCAAACCUUCCUUCAGCACCACCUUGCCUUGACGAAAUGGGCCUUCACUAAAAAUCUCUGUUCCUUACAUUUAUGGAAACAUGGAGCUCAAAUCUAAAGGGGUUUAUUCUGACCCUAGACACAUCACAACAAUUCCCACAUUUGCUGGCCAUGUAUGGAUAUCAUAGGCAGAACCUCAAGAGGUGUGCAUGACCACCUGAUCUACGACCCUGGAUUCUCUGAACAAGAACUGGAGCCAUAAAUGUGGGCCGCAUUAACCCUGAAAUUAGGGAAGAGUGGUGCUGCAUUUUUCCACAAGUACCCACAAUGACCUCUCUUUUUCUUCUAUUGUCAUCAAAACAUUCUUUGUUCCCUGCACAUUAACCUCUGAACCUGCACUCAACUGUUAAAAUGGAGUAUAAUUCUAUUGGCUUUUGUUCACCACCUUAUCUUUAGAGCACUGUGCUAAAAUCUGUGUGUUUGCUUUGAUUUGGUGACCCUUUAAAGAUAUAUAUUAAUCUUUUUUGUAAAGAACUGAAGAUAAAUAUUAUUCAUUAUGUCUAUAUUCCAGGAACUACAGUAUGUUUCCUCAUAGUUCUCAGAUGCUGGGCAGCACAGCUUGAAUGAAUGAUCUUGAAGUGUACGGAGAUAAAAGGAAAAGUAAUCUUGAAAACACUCUGAAGAACAACUUAAAUGUAUGCGUGUUUGUCGCAGCGCUGUGUCCAUUCCUGCAACAGAGGGACUUCCAAGCAAGACAAGAAUCAAGAUUAUAAGAAGUUCAUUACUGAGAAACUCAUGUUUGAACUUUAACCUCAAAGGAUUUAAAAUGAAUGCGCCAGGACUCAAACCAGCAACCGUCAUGCUGUGAAGGAAUGACACUACCCACUGAGCCAUGAUGCUGCCCUUGACAGUAUUGUAUCAUCAAAGUCUAGUUCAGUCACAACAAACAACGACUGUGGCUUCAUUUAAAUGCUCAUUUGGGCUGCUGUAGCUCAAAUAGUAGAGUUUGGCUUUUAUUAAUACUAAGGUUAUGGGUUCAAUUCCCAGGGAAUGUAUGCACUGAUAAAAAUGUGAAUGCUAAUUUAUUUGGAAAUUAAAUAUGUAUUUUCCUUACCAGAGCAAAAACAGACAAAGUAAUCUGCCAUUUUGUGACUAAAAUGUACAUUACUCAAAAUUAACUUCUUGCUUAUUGAACUGUUGAAUAAUGAUGGGCAUAUGAAGAUGAUAUUCAACACAACAGCACUCUGGCUAUUGGUUAAUUAAAUCCUUGCAGUUAUUGUAUGCUGUGUAAUUGUGUAUAUGCAUAUGGAUAUUACUAAUUCAUUCAGCUUAUCUGAUGUCACAGCCAUAUCCUGUAUGCCCAUAAAACACAUAUUGACAUGUUUUUUGUGCGUCUGUCAUGAUGAGAGCCCUUCAUAGAUGAUUCAGCUGAAGAGAUUUCAUAAUACAUUCCAUGCAUUAGAGGACUCUGUGAUGAGCCCAGGGAAGAUUUAGAGCUUUAGAUUGCUUCUAGUCAUCACAAUUGUCAUUCAAAGCAUUUAUUUCCACAACCAUUUAUGCAAACAAUGAGAGGAGAUAGGAAAACUGCCUGCAGCCCCUAAACCAACCUGUGGAGCAUUGAGCAGUAGACAAAUAAAGCAGAGUGAUAAAUUAACCUAAUUAAAUGGUAAUAUUAUUAAUGUGGCUGGACCAC